ensembl:snRNA U1 U1 spliceosomal RNA
UGAGUGACAGAGAAAGGAGAUACCGUGAUCACGAAGGUGCUUUUCCCUGGGCGAGGCUUAUCCAUGGCACUCCGGGUGUGCUGACCCCUGCGAUUUCCCCAAAUGUGGGAAACUCGACUGCAUAAUUUGUGGUAGUGGGGGACUGCGUUCACGCUUUCCCCGG